rnacentral:lncRNA from 1 species
AAAGCCUAGGUAGUAAUUUUCUUUUGUUUUUUGUUUUUAUCACUUAGGGAUAUUAUUUAGGAAACAGUGGUACACUAAGUUAAAUUAUCUGCUUGAAGCAAAGAGAAAACAUCUAUGAAAGAUCUGUAAGUAAUAAAUACAAUCUUUAAAGAGAGCAUAAGGAUUUUCUAUAUGAACCUCAAAUCAGUUAAUUACCUCCCCUUAUAUUCACUGCCAUCUUUCUCUUCCUAUUGGUAUCAUUUCUCAUAAGGCUGUUCAAAUCAUAUUUUAACUGGAUCUUUUCUUUCCAGUCCCCCUCUUCCAGUAGCUUAAUUAGCAGAAUAAUCUUCUUGAAGCCUAAGUACAAUCUUACCAAAGCUCUGAUGUAAAAUUUCUAUUUCAGGCCUAAUACAUUUCCAGUGUCCCAAGGAAAAUUUCAUUUAAGGCCUUGCCACAAUUUCUUGACUGUCUUACCAAUCCAUGGUGAUCCUAUACAUUCAUUUUCAUACUACUUCCUGCUUUGUUUCUCGAUGGCCUUUAAUUUCCAUUUGUGAGUGUCUUUUGUGUCCUGGUUAAAGAAAGUCCUCAAUUCAUGAUUCAUUACAAAAAUAGCUUAAUUUCUGCCUUCAAGUGCUGUGUAUUAAAAUACUUUUGGCUUCGUAUCAACCAUAUAUGUGUAACAUCUCUGCAGUCACUGAGGGCUUUUUCCAGCGUGUUUAUCCACUUGAUUAUUGAGACUCAAGUGUUGAUUUUGGAUUUCAUUACGGUCAGCAAUACCAAGUCCUUCACAAAACAGUAAUAAUAACUUUUAAUAUCUUCUCCCACUUUUCCCUCAUAUACACAAUUCUCCAACUUUUUGUAACAUAGCACAUGCAGAAAAUUGUUUAUAAGGACCAUAUCAUAAAUGAAGGUGGAUGCUGCAGAGAUGACAAGCUGAGGACUGCUGCUGAUGCAUGCAAAUUAGACGUACAUUUUGGCACACAAGUAAUUCAUUCAAGAUAUGCACAUCAGUUUCUAAAGAUCACCAGUUAGGAAGAUUUUCCUUAUAGAAUAUAUUUGAUUAUUGAAUACUAUAGAUGAUAAUUUAAUUUUUAAAAAAGAAA